rnacentral:rRNA from 1 species
GACGAACGCUGGCGGCGUGCUUAACACAUGCAAGUCGAACGGAAAGGCCCUGCUUGCAGGGUGCUCGAGUGGCGAACGGGUGAGUAACACGUGGGUGAUCUGCCCCUUACUUUGGGAUAAGCCUGGGAAACUGGGUCUAAUACUGGAUAGGACCAUGCUGUAGGUGGUGUGGUGGAAAGAUUAGUUUCGGUAAGGGAUGAGCUCGCGGCCUAUCAGCUUGUUGGUGGGGUAAUGGCCUACCAAGGCGUCGACGGGUAGCCGGCCUGAGAGGGUGGACGGCCACAUUGGGACUGAGAUACGGCCCAGACUACUACGGGAGGAAGCAGUGGGGAAUAUUGCACAAUGGGCGCAAGCCGGAUGCAGCGACGCCGCGUGGGGGAUGACGGCCUUCGGGUUGUAAACUCCUUUCAGCCAUGACGAAGCCCUUGUGGUGACGGUAGUGGAAGAAGAAGCACCGGCUAACUACGUG